rnacentral:misc_RNA from 2 species
UUUCCCCCAUCCCUCCGCGAGUCCUCCGGGUGCCUCGCGGUAAAACCAACGAACCCCCGGCGCGGAUCGCGUCAAGGAUUACAAGAGAGGGCGCGRCUCGUGGUUCGUGCGGUACUCCAUGGAGCGCAUCGUGCCACGACCAGCCCCUGCAUGCGCAACAAAUACGACUCUCGGCAACGGAUAUCUAGGCUCUCGCAUCGAUGAAGAACGUAGCGAAAUGCGAUACUUGGUGUGAAUUGCAGAAUCCCGUGAACCAUCGAGUUUUUGAACGCAAGUUGCGCCCGGAGCCGUGAGGCCGAGGGCACGCCUGCCUGGGUGUCAUGUAUACGAUCGUUGCUGCCUCCAACGUGCUGGGGCUCCUGYAAGCGGAUGAUGGCUGUCCGUGUAUCGUCGCGKAGGGCUGAAUGUUUGUUAAUGCGGC